UUUGAUCCUGGCUCAGGAUGAACGCUGGCGGCGUGCUUAACACAUGCAAGUCGAACGAUGACCCGGUGCUUGCACCGGUGAUUAGUGGCGAACGGGUGAGUAACACGUGAGUAACCUGCCCUUAACUCUGGGAUAAGCCUGGGAAACUGGGUCUAAUACCGGAUAUGACUCCUCAUCGCAUGGUGGGGGGUGGAAAGCUUUAUUGUGGUUUUGGAUGGACUCGCGGCCUAUCAGCUUGUUGGUGAGGUAAUGGCUCACCAAGGCGACGACGGGUAGCCGGCCUGAGAGGGUGACCGGCCACACUGGGACUGAGACACGGCCCAGACUCCUACGGGAGGCAGCAGUGGGGAAUAUGCACAAUGGGCGCAAGCCUGAUGCAGCGACGCCGCGUGAGGGAUGACGGCCUUCGGGUUGUAACCUCUUUCAGUAGG
rnacentral:rRNA from 1 species